ACACACAUUUCAUUGGCCUGCUUUCUUUUCAUGUGAGCAGUGUUAUUUCUCACAUGCUAGAUAAUAGUUGACGACUAAUUAGCAAUAUAACUAAAUGGUGAUACUGCCAUUCUCCUUCAGACAAUU